CAAGAUCAACAAAUAAUUUAUUUAUGUUUACAUAAUCAUAUAUGGUUAAUUAGGUGCAAAAUUAUCUGGUAAUUACUUCCCCAAAUAACUCUUUUUAUCCCAUCGCAUUUGAACUUCUGAGUUUGAACACGUAGCAUGCAUAUAUAUACAUAUAUACAUUAGCAAAUUUAAAUAUAACAUUGAUGACAUUCUACUUAAGAGCAAAAGUUAUGGUAUCAGAAAUAACAUUCAAAAAUGAGUAAUUAAAGGUACGAUUGCAAGUAAGAUUUUUUUUAAGUGCUCUUGGAGAGCCCUAGGUUAUUAAUAAAGAAGCAGAGUUCUGAAGAGUAUUUUUAAAUAAGUAUACACAUCAACUGAGAAU
rnacentral:lncRNA from 1 species